UACGAUGCGAGUCGAGCGGAGUGGGUUCACCCGAGCACCUUCGGGUGCUCACCGAGUCCACUUAGCGGCAAACGGGUGAGUAACACGUGGGCAACCUACCGCGCGGUGGGGGAUAGCCGGGGGAAACCCUGGGUAAUCCCGCAUACGCUGGCCCUCCGCAUGGGGGGCCAGGAAAAGUCUUCGGACCGCCGCGUGAUGGGCCCGCGGCCCAUCAGCUAGUUGGUGAGGUAACGGCUCACCAAGGCGACUACGGGUAGCCGGCCUGAGAGGGUAGCCGGCCACACGGGGACUGAGACAUGGUCCCGGCUCCUACGGGAGCUAGCAUCGGGGAAUAUUGCGCAAUGGGCGAAAGCCCGACGCAGUAACGCCGCGUGGGGGAUGAAGGCCUUCGGGUCGUAAACCCCUGUCAGGAGGGAUGAAAGCCAGCCUGCGGGCUGGUGUGACAGUACCUCCAGAGGAAGCCCCGGCUAACUACGUGCCAGCAGCCGCGGUAAUACGUAGGGGGCAAGCGUUGUCCGGAUUUACUGGGCGUAAAGGGCGAGUAGGCGGUCUGGUAAGCGAGGGGUGAAAGCCCACAGCUCAACUGUGGAAUUGCUCCUCGAACUUCCAGACUAGAGGCCGGGAGAGGGCAGUGGAAUUGCCGGUGUAGCGGUGAAAUGCGUAAAUAUCGGCAAGAACGCCAGUGGCGAAGGCGGCUGCCUGGAACGGUCCUGACGCUGAGUCGCGAAAGCUGGGGGAGCGAACCGGAUUAGAUACCCGGGUAGUCCCAGCCGUAAACGAUGCGGGCUAGGUGUUGGAGGUGUCGACCCCUCCGGUGCUGCUAAGCUAACGCGUUAAGCCCGCCGCCUGGGGGAGUACGGCCGCAAGGCUGAAACUCAAAGGAAUUGACGGGGGGCCCGCACAAGCGGUGGAGCAUGCGG
rnacentral:rRNA from 1 species